UUUUUAUGACCCCCACCUUUAAGUCUUCUAAAGUUCUCAUAUUUAAAACAAAAAAAAUUGGAAUGGCAGUUUAAAAAGUAUAGGUCCUUUCUGUAGGGACAGUGCAACUCUGCAUGUUAAAGAACCCUUGCCACAAAUCUUUUGAGGUGUCAGUAGGAUGUGGCUUGUUGCAAAGGCUAACUUUCUGUCCAACAUUAUCCUCCUCUCGGUUGGCAGUCAAAAUUUCCCCUACCUUCAUCAUUGGCCCACCUUUGAGAACCUACAAAUUGUUUUGUUGUGAUAUCAAGAGAUGUGAGACAACUAUCCUACAGAGACCAAAUGAUGUUAAUGUAAAAUAGGUUACUGUAUGGGCUUCAACAAUGAGAAAAUCCACUAACAUUACAAUUUUGCAAUAUUUUGAUUGAGAAUGACUUGUUUAUACCUCCAAACUUUAACACCUGAUAUUUUUAUUAUCUAGAGCUCGUGAAUUAAUAAUUUGAUUUGCCAUCUUCAGAGAAAAAAAGAAGAUAUUCAAAACUUAAUCUUUUAUCUUCAAUUUUUAAAACAUAAUCCAUUGUACAGCAUUUUGGACCAUUAAGAGCUGGGCAAGACAACCAAACCGUGCAAUGGUGCUGAAAGUACCAUUAUUGUAAUCUGGACUUCUACAGUCCAUUUGAGGGUGUAGUUUUUCUCCCUAAGGGCGUUGUAACGGACAUAAAUUAAG
rnacentral:lncRNA from 1 species